UAGAAAUUAUCUUGGCUAAUUUGCCGGGCAUUUCAUGCUGAAAGGCCCAAAUUUUGUCUCUCUUGCCCGGUUGCACGUCCCCAUUCUCUCCCCUCCUUUCCCCUUCAAAUUCUUGUUCCGCAGCCGGAGCCCCCGACAACCCGUUGUUCCUUUAUUUCCCAGAACGCCCCACCAAGCAACCAAGUGGACAUACAGAUUUUUGACCCCAUUCGAAGAACUCUCUGUCAAAGAAAAGAAAGCCCUUUUGCUCCCAGGAACAUAGUGUCUAAGAAGGGGAAGUAAUUGGGGCCCCCAUCAUUGCAGUUAUUGUAAAAACCUGACAAAAAGGCAAAUAGGAGCAAUUUCUAAUGAGCUCCGUAAAGAAAGCUGACUCCUCCAUUUGCAUGACAUUUGCAAUGGUGAAGAUUGCGCUUUGGCCAUAUUUUUCUCGACUACUAUGCUCCAAAAUCCGCAUAAUUCUCUCUCUAUCUGAAUGUGCCUACCCCAUACCCACAACCACCACUACCGCUGCCUUCUCCUUUCUUUACUCUCACCUGACAAAGAGAAAAGGACCAUGUGAUGCUGCUUUGAUUUUUGCUGAGAAUGCUCGUGAAUCAGCCAACUCUUGUUCGCAGAGACCCUCCAUCCUCUUUCCCUUUCCUUUGUUGGGCUCCUUCGACCACCAUUCUUCUGCCCAAAACAAAGGAAAGGUUGUUUAGGAACCAAAUAUUGGUGGCGGUGCAAGUUCAAAAGUUGGCACCUGCAGAUUGAGGAGUUUGAUGGAAGACUUGAAAGCCAGAAAUGUGCAACUGUAUAUAUCUAGAUGCAGCCACCAUUCUCAUUUUUGCCACAUUUUUCUUUCAUUGCAAAUGCAGCCAUCAAUCCCAUAACGCAAAUGAUACUUCCUUUUCCGGAGUCGUAGUAUUGUAGAGAAUCUGCUAACGUUAUUGCAGGAAAGAGAUUGCGGCUAGCUUCAUCGAAAAGCCAAAAUUCAAAAAAUCUGCUUAAAGCGCCUGUAACAAUGUCUGCUGAGAUUGUGGGAGGCAAUGAAGAUCUUUUGAUAAUCAUACUGUCAAAAUUGCCAGCAAGUCAACUGUUACAAUUCAAAGUUUCACAAGACAAUGGCAUGCUCUCAUCUCGAGUUCCAGACUUGCUCUUCUGCACUUCAAUCCCAGUGCCAUCUCUGGUUUCCUUUUCACCACAACAGCAGGAGGUCAGCUCAUUCCUCUCCAUGGUAAUUCUGUAUCAGUUAAACCCCCUCUAGCAAAGCUUCCUCACAUUAGCCCAGAUAUGAAAAUUUUGCACUCUUGCAAUGGCUUAUUGCUUUGUGGUGAUACUUGGUUGAGCAAUUGGAAUGUCGUCCUCAGUCUCUACCUAUAUAAUCCUACUCUUGGUUGGCAUAUUCAGAUCCCGAGUUCUGAAGGCAUGAGGAGAGACUUACUUUAUGAUAUUUUAAAUGAGCAUUAUUGGAAUUUGGCUUUUGAUCCUCUUGAAUCAUCCUCCUAUAAGAUCAUUGACUUUUCUAGGCCUAAAUUUGAGUCUAGUUGCUAUCGUUACAGUAUUGAAAUCUAUUCAUCAGAGACAGGACUGUGGAAGUUAGUCAACAAUGAUAUACUUUCAGGGGAUGAUUUGAAAUUGUCCAUUAACUUUUACAGAGGGGUACUCCUGAAUGGGAUAAUUUAUUGGCCUUCUUUUGGUCGUCGAACUACCUUGUGCUUUGAUGUAGCUAAAGAAUCAAUAAAGUCUAUACCCAUGCCUCCAAAUGGAAUUUGGCCGUACUGCAAUUCAUUUUUUGUGGAGUCUGGCGGUCAUUUAUAUCAUGUUGUGCAUCAAGAGUCACAAUGUUUUGUCCAUGAGAUGGAGGAUAGUUGUUCGGGGUGGCUUCUCAAAUAUUCUGUUGAUAUGGAUGCAGUUUUGGGUGCAUGUCCCUCAAUGGUUAGGGAGAGGGCUGGUUCUGAUAAAUGCCCAUAUCUUGUGUUGUCCUUCAUCCCUAGAGUGGAUCAAAAAGAUGAAUUGGUGUUCUACAUUGCUGGUUGUGCUAUGUAUUAUGACAUCAACCAAGUGAGUUGCAGGAAAAUUUGUGAUCUGAAUGACAGUUGCUUCGAUUGUUAUAUCACCAGAAGAUAUAUAGGGAUUGAUGUUCAUAAACACAUUGAGGGCCUGAUUACCCUUCCUGGAUGUCGCGUCUAGUCUUGCUUGAGGUUUCUGCCUUUUGGGUGAUAUAUCUCUGUCCCCCUUUACACGUCAGACAUAUCAAUAUUUGGAAUCAUAGAGAGUAUUAGUUGCUUACUUUCUGUGCAUAUGUUUCUGAAAUUUUGCUCGUCCUUGCAUCAAAAUUGGGUGUUCAGUUUACUCUCAUACCUUCAGUCGUAAAAACUUGGGAUAGCGGUGUCAUAAUCUAUCUGUAAAGGCCAUUUCACUCGUAAUAUUAUGCUGCUCGCAAAAUAUGGAUCCGAGUUCAAGAAGGGAUUGACCUCUCAAGCGGUAUGCUGGACGCAAGGAAACAAUGUAACAUGUUCAGUUCACUGUUGGUGCCGGAAGAAAUUUGUCCCAUCAAUCGUCGACUUUGAGAAGGGAGCUGAUAGGCAGACUGACGUACAGAUCAUAGCGUUUAGCCGGGGCAAGAAUCUCAAUGGAUCAGCAUAGUUUUCUUUCCAGUUCCUUCCCCUCCUUUAGAUGCUCUUCCUUGAGAUUUCUUGAAGAACCUGCUGUAGUAAUGUAUGCUGGUUGAAGGCUGAACGUGUAAAUAUGAUUAUUUCUACCUUUGGAUUUGUACCUUCUAUUUCUGUGUCUUAUUUUAUCUACCAAACUGGUCUUUUGUUCUGAUCAAUUGCUACAUUCCUUCUCUUAGCAUCAUUUCAUUCUGUCAGUUUUCUUAGA